GCGCAGUGGCGAACGAGUUAGUAACACCUUGGUACGUACCCUAGAGACGGGCAUAACCCCGCGAAAGCGGAGCUAAUUCCCGAUAGUGUAGCAAUACUGAAGUCGCAAGACGCUUUAGGAGCGGCCUAGGUCUGAUCAGCUUGUUGGUGAGGUAAUGGCUCACCAAGGCUAUGACCAGUAGGAGGGGUGAGAGCCCGAUCUCCAACGACGAAACUGAGACACGGUUCGUACACCUACGGGUGGCAGCAGUCGAGAAUAUUCCACAAUGGGCGAAAGCCUGAUGGAGCGACGCCGCGUGCAGGAUGAAGGCCCUUGGGUCGUAAACUGCUUUUCUAUGGGAAGAAGCUGGUGCAAGCCAGAUUGACGGUACCGUAGGAAUAAGUGGCUGCAAACUUCGUGCCAGCAGCCGCGGUAAUACGAAGGCCACAAGCGUUAUCCGGAUUUAUUGGGCGUAAAGGGCGCGUAGGGGGCUUUGCAAGUUUUUGGUUAAAGACCGAAGCUUAACUUCGGAUGUGCCAAGAAAACUGCAAGGCCUGAGGGCGUUAGAGGCAAGCGGAACGCACGGUGUAGGGGUGAAAUCCGUUGAUAUCGUGCGGAACACCAGAGGCGAAGGCGGCUUGCUGGGACGUUCCUGACCCUGAGGCGCGAAAGCGUGGGGAGCAAAAAGGAUUAGAUACCCUUGUAGUCCACGCCCUAAACGAUGUCGACUAGCUGUUUCGAGAAUCGACCCUCGGAGUGGCGUAGCUAACGCGUUAAGUCGACCGCCUGGGAAGUACGAGCGCAAGCUUAAAACUCAAAGGAAUAGACGGGGACUCGCACAAGCGGUGGAGCAUGAGGUUUAAUUCGAUGGUAAACGAGAAACCUUACCAGGGCUUGAAAUACUUUCGAAAAUAGUCUGAAAGGAUUAUUGUUGUUAUUUAUUUAAUGACGGAAGCACAGGUGCUGCAUGGUUGCCGUCAGCAUGUGCCGUGAGGCGCUCCCUUAAAUGGGGUAACAUGCGCAACCCCUGUCCUCUGUUACAAGUGUCAGAGGAGACCGCCGGUUUUUACCGGAGGAAGGUGGGGAUGACGUCAAAUCAGCAUGGCCCUUUGAUGCCCUGGGCUACACUCAUGCUACAAUGGCGAGAACAGCGGGUUGCCAAACCGAAAGGUGGAGCUAAUCCCUAAAAUCUCGCCCCAGUUCAGAUUGCGGGCUGCAGCUUGCCCGCAUGAAGCAGGAAUCGCUAGUAAUCGCGGAUCAGAAUGCCGCGGUGAAUACGUUCUCGAGUCCUGUACUCACCGCCCGUCAAUGCAAGGAAGCCGGGAGUGCCUGAAGCUUUGGCUUUUAGUCGGGGUAAAGGUAAGCUCGGUGACAUGGCAUAAGUCGUAACAAGGCA
rnacentral:rRNA from 1 species